UACAGGGGGUGCAAACGUUGCUCGGAAUCAUUGGGCGUAAAGCGCACGUAGGCGGUUACUUAAGUCGGAUGUGAAAGCCCUUGGCUCAACUGAGGAAGUGCAUCCGAAACUGAGUAGCUUGAGUACGAAAGAGGGUCGCGGAAUUCCCGGUGUAGAGGUGAAAUUCGUAGAUAUCGGCAGGAACACCCAGGGGGAAACCAGCCGCCUGGGCAUGCGCUGACGCUGAGGUGCGAGAGCGUGGGGAGCAAACAGG
rnacentral:rRNA from 1 species